rnacentral:rRNA from 1 species
AGCGGUAACAUUUCUAGCUUGCUAGAAGAUGACGAGCGGCGGACGGGUGAGUAAUGCUUGGGAACAUGCCAUUAGGAGGGGGACAACAGUUGGAAACGACUGCUAAUACCGCAUAAUCUCUUCGGAGCAAAGAUGGGGCUCUUCGGACCUAUCGCCUAAUGAUUGGCCCAAGUGGGAUUAGCUAGUUGGUGAGGUAAAGGCUCACCAAGGCGACGAUCCCUAGCUGGUCUGAGAGGAUGAUCAGCCACACUGGAACUGAGACACGGUCCAGACUCCUACGGGAGGCAGCAGUGGGGAAUAUUGCACAAUGGGCGCAAGCCUGAUGCAGCCAUGCCGCGUGUGUGAAGAAGGCCUUCGGGUUGUAAAGCACUUUCAGUAAGGAGGAAAGGUUAGUCGCUAAUAUCGGCUAGCUGUGACGUUACUUACAGAAGAAGCACCGGCUAACUCCGUGCCAGCAGCCGCGGUAAUACGGAGGGUGCGAGCGUUAAUCGGAAUUACUGGGCGUAAAGCGUACGCAGGCGGUUUGUUAAGCUAGAUGUGAAAGCCCCGGGCUCAACCUGGGAACUGCAUUUAGAACUGGCAGACUAGAGUGUGAUAGAGGGUGG